UAGGGAAUCUUCCACAAUGGGCGAAAGCCUGAUGGAGCAACGCCGCGUGUGUGAUGAAGGGGUUUCGGCUACGUAAAACACUGUUGUAAGAGAAGAAUGACAUUGAGAGUAACUGUUCAAUGUGUGACGGUAUCUUACCAGAAAGGAACGGCUAAAUACGUGCCAG
rnacentral:rRNA from 1 species